CAUGUGGAUAACGAGCUGGCGGCUACUGGCGCCUACCGGCUUGGCUGCCUCUGCGGCGCCGGAGAGGACAGUGCGCAACGAUAGAAGUACCCCUCCAAAGUGUGGCAAGUAACGACGAUGUUCAUUAACGAUUAUUGUACUGUGGUACGAAGCUAUUUUGACACCAGCGAAAUAAGGAACUAAAUUAUUUCUGAAGCACCAGCGAAUCCAGACUAAACGAGUUUAGCAUGCUACAGCAACAUGGAAUUUCUGAAGGUUAAUGUGCAAAAUGCUAGACAAUUUUUGUCACCGUAUUAAUCGUUAAGAAGCACUUAUAUUCAACAUGUCUUCAGCUACGAGCUCUUUAGCUGUUAAUUAUUAUCAGAAUCGCACCUCUGUGAGACAGGGCGUUUCUACUGCCUUGUUGCCAGGAGGAUCUAAAUGUUUGAUGUAUAACUACGGGAAAUUUAAUUUAAUCUGACUUUACUUGCAUAUGGAUUCAACUUCUUGCUCUUAGGUAACCAAUGCACGUGAAAUGAAGAAACAGCCGACGCUUUGCAUGAACGAGAAUACAAUACUGGCUAAAAAGAGUGCAUCUGACUGGUGUACGAAACAGUCUCCCAGUAAUGUGUCCUGAUUCAGCUCCGUCUUUCCUCUCUUAGCCACCAUGGUACGUUUUACUCAAUAUGAGGAGAAAUGACGAUACAGUCCACGCCUUGCAUUAAGAAAUGUGCAAAACUGCCUAAAGGAAGAGCAUCAUUCUCUGACUGGUACACAAAAUAGUCUCCCAGUAAUGUUCCCUGAUCUGGCUUUGGCUUCCUUGUCAGUAGCGUUAGCAAGGAUGCAAUGUGUCCGCAACUUGAGCAGGUUCCAGAUGUCUGUUUGUGGGAUGGAGUUCCAUGCGUGUGGCACUUGAUUGCUCAGUACAGGAGCAGUUAACCCGGGUUGUGAAUGACGCUGGAGUUACCGUCCGAUGAUGUUCCACAUGUUCUCGAUUGGAGACAGAUCUGGCCACGGUGACAUGUCGACACUCUGUACAGAAUGGUGCAUUACAACAGUGGAAUGUGGAGCCAACAAUUGACUUUUUUGCUCACUCCUUUUGGCAGCGUGAUGGAAGCACAACAACACUAGCAAACAGCUACGACUGGAGCUGAGAAUGCCAGUGGCCAGAAACUAUUUUCUCCCUUUUUCUUCUUCAAUGCACAAGAGGAAUGGACAGAGUACUGCCUGCAAGUCAAGUAGCAUUUCCAAGCAUACAUCAGAUUUUAAGGAUCUAUAGAAGGAAAUGAGGCAAAAUGGAACGGCGGAAGGGGUCAAUGAAGAUGGCAGUUGAAGCAGCGAUGAAAGUGUCACCGCUAUUAGAAGCCAAUAGAACUUAUGGAAUACCAUUUACGAAUAUGUACCAACGUUAUCAGAAGGAAAAAUAUAACAUUAUGAAUAUUA